rnacentral:rRNA from 1 species
GACGAACGCUGGCGGCGUGCUUAACACAUGCAAGUCGAGCGGAAAGGCUCCUUCGGGGGUACUCGAGCGGCGAACGGGUGAGUAACACGUGAGUAAUCUGCCCUUGGCUUUGGGAUAAGCCCCGGAAACGGGUCUAAUACCGGAUACGACGCACUCUCGCAUGGGAUGUGUGUGGAAAAGUCUUUUCGGCCAGGGAUGUGCUCGCGGCCUAUCAGCUUGUUGGUGGGGUAAUGGCCUACCAAGGCUUCGACGGGUAGCCGGCCUGAGAGGGUGACCGGCCACACUGGGACUGAGACACGGCCCAGACUCCUACGGGAGGCAGCAGUGGGGAAUAUUGGACAAUGGGCGGAAGCCUGAUCCAGCAACGCCGCGUGAGGGAUGACGGCCUCGG